UGAAAGCAAUUUUUCUCUCGAUUGAAUAUAUCAUAAAGUUUGUUUACAACAUAGAAUAAUGUAAACCAUAUAUAGGGAACCCAUAAAACCCUAGUCUAAGCAAAAAAGAAGAUUACAAAAGUUACCAAAAGAAAAGUUUUAACUUAAUUAAAAGAUUUCAUGAAACACUGAAAAAAUCACGUCAAGUUCACUCUAUGCGAUCGGAUAGAGUUAACUUUCAAAUCCGUAGCUAGUUUUCUGCAUGGUGUAUGUGACCGCAUGCAUGAGUGAACUAUGCAGUCAUAUAGCUUAGUUUUCUAGCCUCUUCAUCCAUUGCUUGUAUCACGUUGAUCCAACUGGUUUUAAGCUCUCGAGCCUAACAUGAAAUUUGUUCCUUUGCUCACCAAGAUCGACGUUUCAUCCAUUGUAGCUUGAAUGAGAAAUCAUAUUGCUUCUUUGACCUUCUUUUCUCGCGAUUGAGUCAUCGGCCUUUCUUCAGCGAUCAACAGAUUCUUGUCCGAACUUGUAUUCGUUGCCUUCAUUCCAUGAAUCACAUCAUCAUCUUUCUCUUCAAAAGGAUUCAACCUUGAAUCUGUACUGUCAUCAAAGAGAGAAAGAUCAGACACGUUGAAGGUAGCUGAAACACUAUACUCACCAAGAAGAUCUAGCUUGUAGGCAUUGUUAUUAAUCCUUUCAAGAACUUGAAAUGGACUGCCUCCCCGUGGCUGCAACUAUGAUUUCCUUUAUUGUCGAAAGCGUUCCUUUCUCAAGUGUACCCAAACUCAAUCACUGGCUCAAAUGUAAUUCUAUUCCGACCCUUAUUUGCUUAAGUCGCAUAUUGUUUUUUUUUUUUUUUCCAAUCUGCAUCCUUACCUUGUCAUGGAGUAAUUUCAUCAAUUAGGCCUUCUUCUUUCUAUCUAAACUACCUUGUUUAUUAACAGGUAAAUGAAUUAAAUCUAAAAAUGUUAGUAGAUUAAAAUUAUGUACAAUUUUAAAUGGCAAACAAGAAGUAGUAGAACACGUGGCCUAUUAUAGGCAAACUCAAUGAAUGGUAAGCACUCUUCCCAACUCUUCAAAUUUUUAUUAACUACAGUGCUGGCAAUUGUAUCAUGGUCCUAUUAACUACCUCGUUUGUCUAUCAAUUUAUGGAUGACAAUUUGUAGAAAAUAGUAACUUUACACCUAACUUAUUCUACAAAACUCUCCAAAAGUUACUAAGGAAUUUCAUGUCCAUAUCCGAUACAAUGCUCCUAAGAAUCCUAUGUAAAUGCACUACUUCUUUAAAGAAUAGAUCCACUAUAUUGGUGGCAUCAUUAGUUUUAUGACAUGGCAUGAAAUGUGCCAUUUUGCUAAAUCUCUAUCCACUACCACAAAUAUCGAAUCUUGUCCUUUUUUGGUCCUAUGUAAACCUAAUAUAAAAUCCAUAGAAAUAGCAACCCAAUGUUCACUAGGAACAGAUAGAGUUAUAUACAAUCCUAGAGGUAAAACAUUAGACUUAGCUUUUUUACAAGUGAUGCAUCUACUAGAAGCUCGAUUAACAUCAAUUUUCAUUUUAGGCGAAUAAAAAUGCUCACCUAGUAUCUCUAAGGUCUUCCCCAAAUGUCCCAUUAAGCCCCACUAUGUGUUUCCCUUACUAACAACUCUCUCAUUGAAUAAUUAGAAACAAAUAAUUUGUUUUCCCAAAAUAGAUAACAAUCACACCUAAAGAAACUGACAACAGUCUUUAUCACAUGAUUCAUAUAUAUUAGAAAAUCGAUUCAUUUGCAUACAUGUCCUUAACAUAUUCAAAGUCAAGCAAUUUAGUACCUAAAGAAGUUAAAAUCACAUACCUCCUUGACAACGCAUGUGCUACAUCAUUUUCUUUACCUUGUUUGUACUGAAUGACAUAUGAGAAUGUCUUAAUGAACUCCAUCUAUCUUGCAUGCCUCUUGCUUAACUUACCUUAACCUGUCAAAUGCUUUAAAGAUUCAUGAUCGGUAUCAAUCACGAACAUCUUUGGCCAUAAGUAGUGCUGCCAUGUCCCCAAAACUCGAAUAAGCGCAUAUACCUUCUUUUCACAUGUAGGAUCACUUACCUUUUCAUUGAAGUAAGCUAUCAAUUUUCAAUCCUGCAUUAAAACAAUUCCAAUUUCUAUCCCUAAGCCAUCACAUUCAAUUUCAAAAGUUUUGUCAAAGCUUGGAAGCGAUAAAAUAAGUUCCUUACACAACCUAUCUUUAAUAGCGUUAAAUACAUGUUCUUGCUCAACGCCAUAGUAAAAUCCUACACUUUUCUUUACGAUUUCCAUGAGUGGUGUGGCAAUUGUGCUAAAAUUUAUAUAUAAAAAAAUCUAUAGAAACUAGCCAAACCAUGAAAGCUUCUUACCUCAAUUAUGCUUUUAGGUGUUGAUCAUUUCUUAGUAGCCUUGAUUUUCUCACCAUCUACUUCUAUCCCCUUUACAUUAACUAUAUACCCAAGAAAAAAAAAGUUAUGCAAAAUGUACAGUUUUUAAAGUUGGCAUCAAGUUAUUCUUGUCUUAAAACCAUAAGCACACAUCGUAAAUUUCCUAUAUGCUCGUUUAAGUCCUUACUAUAAAUCAAGAUAUUGUUGAAGUAAACCACUAUGAAUGUACCUAGGAAUGCACGUAAAACAUGAUUCAUCAAUGGCAUAAAUGUACUAGGUGUAUUAGUAAGUCCAAAUGGCAUAGCUAACCACUCAUACAAUCCAUAUUUAUUUUUAAAAGCGAUUUUCAAUUCGUCUCCUUCCCUCAUCCUAAUUUGAUGAUAACCACUUUUAAGAUCAAUUUUACUAAAUAUACAUGUACCAUGUAAUUCGUCUAAUAUAUCAUCUAAACUAGGAAUAUGAUGAUGAUACUUUACCAUUAUGUCGUUGACGGCCUGGAAUCCACACACGUUUUUCAAGUUCUAUCUUUCUUUGGCACCAAUAGUAAUAGCACGGCGCAUGGACUCAUACUUUCCUUCAUAUUUCUAAUUUGAUGAUAACAACUUUUAAGAUCAAUUUUACUAAAUAUACAUGCACCAUGUAAUUCGUCUAAUACAUCAUCUAACCUAGGAAUAUGAUUAUGAUACUUUACCAUUAUGUUGUUGACGGCCUGCAAUUCACACACAUUCUCCAAGUUCUAUCUUUCUUUAGCACUAAUAGUACUAGCACAGCGCAUGGACUCAUACUUUUCCUUCACAUUUCCUUUGCUCAUCAAUUUCUCCACUUGUUUUUUAAGUUCCUUGGUUUUCUCGGGAUUACUUUGGUAAGUCCACUGGUUUGGAACAACAGCCCAAAAUACGAUCUGAUAUUUGAUGCCACGAUUGGGUGGUAAUCCACUAGGUAUGUCCUCCGGGAACACUUCUUCAUAUUCUUGCAAUAAAGAAGUAGCCAAACUAGAGGGGAUAUGUUAGAUUUCUCAAGAUUGAUGAGUGACUCUUUAUAGACCAACAAGAUUAUUAGUCGACUCUCAACUAUUGCCCUCUUCAACUCACUUCCUUUUGUAAAGAAAUUCACUUUCAACAUUUCUCUCCUAUCAGAAAACUUUUUUUUUUUUUUCACUCUUGUGGCUUUACUCAUCUUUCCCACUACUAGUCACCUCACUAUUUUUUCUCUUGCUCUCCAUCUCUCUCAAUCUUCUCUCUUCCUCAUUUUUCAAUUUGAUUUGAUCCUUAUACACUUAUGUCUGUGUUAAUGGUGCAAGGGUAAUAGAUUUUCCAUCCUUGAUAAAGUUAUACCUAUUUUUGUAACCAUCAUGUAUCAUCACCUUCCUAUCAUAUUAUCAUGGCUUACCCAACACAAUUUACCUGGCAACAUAGGAACUACGUGUCACAUCACUUCAUCAUGAUAGCUACCAACUGAGAAACUCACCAAUACCUCCUAUUCACCUUAACCUCUCCACAUUCAUUCAACCAUUGUAGCAAGUAAGGUUUAGGAUAUUAUAGCAUGGUUAAUCCCAAUUUUUCAACAAGUGUAGUGCUAACCAUAUUAGCAGAACUACCCUCACCAAUAAUCAUGUUACAUGCCUUAUUGUUGAUGUAGCACCAUGUAUGAAACAUGUUCUUCCUUUGCUGCUCUAAGUCAUCCGCUUUGAUUUGAGCACUAAGAUCUCGCUUCGUAACUAGAAGCUCACCCGCUGCAUAAUCCACCUUUUUACCAACAUUAGCCUCUUCCAACUCCGACGUGUCACCAUAGUCCUUCUCACUAUCGCUCACCACUUCUCCAUAGUCUCGUAAAACCAUUCCCUCUUGUUGGGCCCCAAAUACUUAAAGCAUUUGAUGUCUCAACUCCUAGACGACUGGGAUUCCACUUUGGAUGUGACAUUGCUAGCUCUUUUUUCUUUUCCUAUCGGUAGUUUAGCUUUGCUCUUUGAAACUAUCCCAUCUCCCUUGCUACUAUCCCACUUCGAUUUUCAAGAAAGAUUUGAACCCGAUGGAUACCUAGUUGUCUCCUUCCUCUUGAAUUACCUCUCCACCUUCAUAGCCACAUGUUCAUGUCAUCUAACUCCACAUAAUGUUACAACUCCACUACAUUAGCUAUUUUCUUAUUCAAACCAUUCAAAAAAUCGAGUCAUAGUGGCCUCCCAUCCUCCUCAACAUUCCUAUGACUUGGUUUCGAAAGAAGGCUUUCCCUCGACCAAAGCCCCACGCUCUAACCAUUAAUAUCUUCAUCUCCUUAUGAUAGUCCUCCACACUCUUAGACCCUUGACAAAGGCUUUGUAGUUUUUGAUGAAGUUCUCGAUAGCAUUGACUAGGCAUGAACCUCUUCUUCAUGAUAGUCCCCAAUUCUCCCCAUGUAUUAAUUGGCCUAUCACAAUUCCUCAUCCUAGAUGUCAAUACUUGGUCCUACCAAGUAAUAGCAUAAUCGAUGAACUCAAGUACCACAAAAUUUUUACCUUCUUUUUCUCCGAGUAGUUGUGGCAAUCAAAUAUCAAUUCAAUCUUCUUUCGCAACUCCAAGUAGGCUUUCAAAACACUCAUUCCUUUGAAUGAGGAAAUCGUCAUCUUAAUAUUGCCCAUACUCUCAUCAAUUCCAUCUCCUAUAAGUUCUCUAUCCCUUUUUUCAUAUCUAACUUCUCUAUCCCUUACCGAACUCGUCAUCCAUUAUUGAAUCCUUAUCCAUUCUACCACCUAUGUCAUAAUCACUACGAUUCUCUAUCCUAGGCUCCUGUCUACCUUGCCUCCUUACAUUGGGAACUCCCUUACAUAAAUUGGCAAGCAAUGAAUCUUGCAUUUCCAUCCACACUUUCUGCCUAUACAACCUAUCCCUGACAUCUUCAAACAACCUUUCAAAUCGUCAUAUCAACUCUUCCGACAUGUUGACUUGAUUGUUGUUUCUGCUUGAGGUAGAAUCGUCCCUGUCAGAAAUCUUAAAUCUAAAAUAAUAUCUGCCUCAUAUGUGUACGCUCGUGUAUCACUCAAAAUGAUUUUUUCCCUUAAUUAGUCUCACCAUUCUUCCUUUUUUUCACUCAAUGUUUCAUCCAAGUGCUUCAAAGAACUAAUCCGGACUCAAUCAAGUCUUAUUCUUGAAGAAUUCAAACUAGGAUGUGAGUGAGAUUUAUAACUUUAGAAGACUGAUUUUUGGAGUCUAAGCUCUGAUACCAACUGAUGUUCACCCACAUAGCAAUUGAAGCUACGAAACUCACACGAGAUUGAAUCACAGCCCAAGAAAGCCAAUAAAUCAAAGUUUUAAGGUUGAUUCAAAAAUAUUGAACAAAGCAACCAACAAAUUGUCGACAAUAUAUUGACAUCUUGAUCACAAGACUUGAGAAUCUCAUCCAAAUUGUUUGAAUGCCACAAGAAUUAAAAUCUUGAUAACUUCAGAAAAUUAGUUCAACGAUGAAAGCAAUUUUUGUCUCAAUUGGAUAUAUCAUCAAAGUUGUUUGUAAUGUAGAAUAAUGAGUCCUAUUUAUAGAAAAACCAUAAAACCCUAGUCUAAACGAAAAAGAAUUUUAAAAGAUUACAAAAGUUACCAAAAGAAAAGUUUUAACUUAAUUAAAAGAUUUCACAGAAAAUUGGAAAAAUCACGUCAAAUCCCUAGCUAGUCUUUUGCAAAGGUGCAUGUGACCGCGUGCAUGAGUGAGCUAUGCGUUCGCGUAGCUUAAUUUUCCUAUCUCUUUGUCUGUUGCUUGUAUCAAGUUGAUCCAACUAGUUUUAGCUCCCGAGCUCGACAUGAAACUUGUUCCUUUGCUUGUCAAAAUCGACGUUUCAUUCAUUGUAGCUUGAAUUAUCAAUCUUAUUGCUUCUUUGACCCUCUUUGCUCGCAACUGAGUUAUUGGCCCUUUUUCGACAAUUAACGGAUCUUUGCCUGGAUUUGUAUUGAUUGCAUUCGUUCUAUGGAUCACAUCACCACAUUUCAUCACACUCCUCUUUCAAGAUAUAAGAAAAAUGGAAUUGAUCGAUCACUUAAAAAGUUUUUGAACUAUUUUUUAACAUUGAUUGUUUGAUGAAUUAUUUGUUUUCUUUAAAAAAGAAAAAAGAAAAAGAAAAACUCAAUAAACAUUCAUAGAGCAUUAAAACGUUAAUGAUUGCUUUUAAAAGUUUUUACAUAAUUCAUCACUUACUUUGAGGUGUGCCAUCAAAACUACUGCAAUUAAUUUAGUGAAUCAUUAUUGUUACAUAUUAGACAAUCUUUUGUAUAGGAAUGGAAAUUAAUUUAUGCAUUCAAAUUAUGACAAUAUUUUUUUUGUUAGUUUGGACUUUGGUAAUCUUGAUGAUUGAUAAUUUGAACUUGUUAAAUGUUUGAUGUUUAUUUUUUUUAUUUAGGUAUAUAUUACUAACUUACAGAUAUUGUGUAAGUCUGGAAGUUU
rnacentral:lncRNA from 1 species